AACGAACGCUGGCGGCAGGCUUAACACAUGCAAGUCGAACGCCCCGCAAGGGGAGUGGCAGACGGGUGAGUAACGCGUGGGAAUCUACCCAGAACUUCGGAACAACUGAGGGGAACUUCAGCUAAUACCGGAUACGCCCUACGGGGGAAAGAUUUAUCGGUUUUGGAUGAGCCCGCGUUGGAUUAGCUAGUUGGUGGGGUAAUGGCCUACCAAGGCGACGAUCCAUAGCUGGUCUGAGAGGAUGAUCAGCCACACUGGGACUGAGACACGGCCCAGACUCCUACGGGGGGCAGCAGUGGGGAAUAUUGGACAAUGGGCGAAAGCCUGAUCCAGCCAUGCCGCGUGAGUGAUGAAGGCCUUAGGGUUGUAAAGCUCUUUCAGUAGGGAAGAUAAUGACGGUAGUCGGAGAAGAAGCCCCGGCUAACUUCGUGCCAGCCGCCGCCGUAACAC
rnacentral:rRNA from 1 species